rnacentral:rRNA from 1 species
UGGCGGACGGGUGAGUAAUGUCUGGGAAACUGCCCGAUGGAGGGGGAUAACUACUGGAAACGGUAGCUAAUACCGCAUAACGUCGCAAGACCAAAGAGGGGGGCCUUCGGGCCUCUUGCCAUCGGAUGUGCCCAGAUGGGAUUAGCUAGUAGGUGGGGUAAAGGCUCACCUAGGCGACGAUCCCUAGCUGGUCUGAGAGGAUGACCAGCCACACUGGAACUGAGACACGGUCCAG